rnacentral:rRNA from 1 species
GUGUAGUGGCGGACGGGUUAGUAACGCGUGGGAACGUGCCCUUCUCUACGGAAUAGCCUCGGGAAACUGGGUUUAAUACCGUAUACGCCCUUCGGGGGAAAGAUUUAUCGGAGAAGGAUCGGCCCGCGUAAGAUUAGAUAGUUGGUGGGGUAAUGGCCUACCAAGUCUACGAUCUUUAGCUGGUUUGAGAGGAUGAUCAGCAACACUGGGACUGAGACACGGCCCAGACUCCUACGGGAGGCAGCAGUGAGGAAUCUUGCGCAAUGGGCGAAAGCCUGACGCAGCCACGCCGCGUGCCGGAUGAAGGCCCUAUGGGUUGUAAACGGCUUUUGAGGGGGAAGAACGACCGGGUUUCGAUCUGGUGUGACGGUACCCCUUGAAUAAGCACCGGCUAACUCCGUGCCAGCAGCCGCGGUAAUACGGAGGGUGCAAGCGUUGCUCGGAAUCACUGGGCGUAAAGCGUACGCAGGCGGUUUAUCAAGUCGGGUGUGAAAUCCCGGAGCUCAACUCCGGAACUGCGCCCGAAACUGGUAGACUUGAAUACGGGAGAGGUAAGCGGAAUUCCUGGUGUAGAGGUGAAAUUCGUAGAUAUCAGGAGGAACACCAGUGGCGAAAGCGGCUUACUGGCCCGAUAUUGACGCUCAUGUACGAAAGCG